rnacentral:rRNA from 1 species
GCAAGUCGAGCGGAAACGGAGAUAGCUUGCUAUCAGACGUCGAGCGGCGGUCGGGUGAGUAAUGCCUAUAUAUCUGCCUAAUCGUGGGGGAUAACAGUUGGAAACGACUGCUAAUACCGCAUACGCCCUACGGGGGAAAGGAGGGGACCGUCGGGCCUUUCGCGAUUAGAUGAGUCUAGGUGGGAUUAGCUAGUGGGUGAGGUAAUGGCUCACCUAGGCGACGAUCCCUAGCUGGUCUGAGAGGAUGAGC